CGCGUAGGCGGCUUGGCAAGUCAGAUGUGAAAUCCCCGAGCUUAACUUGGGAAUUGCCUCUGAUACUGCAGGACUUGAGACUAGGAGAGGGUGGUGGAAUUCCCAGUGUAGAGGUGAAAUUCGUAGAUAUUGGGAGGAACACCAGAGGCGAAGGCGGCCACCUGGACUAGAUCUGACGCUCAGGUGCGAAAGCGUGGGAGCAAACA
rnacentral:rRNA from 1 species